ensembl:misc_RNA Metazoa_SRP Metazoan signal recognition particle RNA
GCCGGGCAUGGUACUGCAUGCCUGUAGUCCCAGCUACCUGGGAGACUAACGCAGGAAAAUUGCUUGAGUCCAGGAGUUUGAGGCCACAGUGAACUAUGAACAUGCCAUUGCACUCUAGCCUGGGCAAUAGGCAAUAGAGUGAGACCCUAUCUCAAAAAAAACAAAAAGUUCACCAUCAAUAUGUUGACCUCCCAGAAGCAGGAGACCACUAGGUUGCCUAAGGAGAGGUGAAUCGGCCCAGGUCAGAAAAAGAGCAGGCCAAAAAUCCCAUGCUGAUGUGUAGUGGGCUACCACUCGUGAAGCCACUGUGCUCUACCCUGGGCAAUAUAACAGGACAUCAUUU